GCAAGUGAUUGACAGGCCUUCGGACCAAUCGAGCUUCAGUAUUUCAUCUGCAUUCAUGUAUGUCGGUAUCUUUUUCAAAAUAUCUCUUCACAUGUGGGUGGGCAAAUUGUGACAUUUUCUUCACUCUUAACGCAUUUUACUUAAAUAUGAGCUCUUGCUGGUAGUGAUUGAAGAAAUAGUGAUAUAACCAACAAACUACUAUUUUCCCUCUAUGGUCAUUCAGUGUCGUAUAUGUCAAUUAUGCGAUCUGCAGCCCACUUGAUUUAAAACAUUUUAGGACAGUAAUUCAGAUUUUUAAUUAUUAAAGAUAGUAACGUUGCCUACAUUUCUUUAUAUUAAACGACUGUCCCAAAUGGCACACUUCGCCCUUGUGGACCUCCUUUAGAAUCCACGCUCUUCAUUGGAUUUACCCAGAUUGCACAUCGAGUAGUUGUAUACGUAAGUAGAUAGCGCCAUCUGGUGGUUCUACGUCUGAAGCCUAUGCUCAUAUAAAAGAGUUUAUUGUUCCUAUGCAUUUUACAGUUUACACAAAAAGAACAGGCUGUUGACAGUUUGCUGUCUUACAAAGAUAUAAAUGUGUGCAUGCCCCAAAAAGUAAACCCAUAUGCUGACAAAACUCAGAGGGUUGUUUAUCUUUCGACAAAAAUUAAGCUGGAGUCAUUAUGAUGAUGCUGG